rnacentral:rRNA from 1 species
AUUGAACGCUGGCGGCAGGCCUAACACAUGCAAGUCGAACGAGUGGCGGACGGGUGAGUAAUGUCUGGGAAACUGCCUGAUGGAGGGGGAUAACUACUGGAACCGGUAGCUAAUACCGCAUACCAUCAGAUGUGCCCAGAUGGGAUUAGCUUGUUGGUGGGGUAACGGCUCACCAAGGCGACGAGCCCUAGCUGGUCUGAGAGGAUGCCCAUCCACUCGGGAAUUGAGACCCGGGCCAGAAGCCUACGUGGUGCAGUAGUGGGGAAUCUUGCACAAGGGGAGCAAGCCUGAUGCAGCCAUGCGGCGUGUAUGAAGAGGGCCUUCGGGUUGUAAAGUACUUUCAGCGGUUAGGCGUUACCCGCAGAAGAAGCACCGGCUAACUCCGUGCCAGCAGCCGCGGUAAUUC